GGUUCAAGUGAUUCUCAUGCCUCAGUCUCUUAAGUAGCUGGGAUUACAGGAAACCACUGGCCAUGUUUCAUGCUGCCCUACGGAGAGGCUCAUAUAUCAAGGAACUGAUGUCUCUGGCUAACAUCUGACAAGAACCUGAAGCCUGUUACAGCCGUGAGAGUGAACUUGCAGGCCAAUUGCUCCCCAGGUGAGCCUGGCAAUGACCACAGGCCUGGCUGAUGCCUUGGGAGAGACCUGGAGCCGAAGGACCCAGCUGAAUUACUCCCACAUUCCUGACCCACAGAAAUGGUGGGGAUAAUAAUAUGCAUUGUUUUAAGCCACUAA